GACAGAGGUGCCGAGCGUUAGGCGGAAUCACUGGGCUUAAAGCGUGUGUAGGUGGAUGCCUAAGUCCCUUGUGAAAUCCCACGGCUUAACCGUGGAACUGCUUGGUAUACUGGGUGUCUUGAGCCAGCUAGGGGCUACCGGAACAAAUGGUGGAGCGGUGAAAUGCGUAGAUAUCGGAAGGAACAUCAGUGGCGAAAGCGGCUUCCUGGACCAGAACUGACGAUCAGGCUCGAAAGCGUGGGGAGCAAACAGG
rnacentral:rRNA from 1 species